AACGAACGCUGGCGGCAGGCUUAACACAUGCAAGUCGAACGCGUGUAGCAAUACACGAGUGGCGCACGGGUGAGUAACGCGUGGAUAUCUACCUUUUGGUUCGGAAUAACCCCGGGAAACUGGGGCUAAUACCGGAUGGUUCCUUCGGGAUAAAGAUUUAUCGCCAAAAGAUGAGUCCGCGUACGAUUAGCUAGUUGGUGAGGUAAUGGCUCACCAAGGCGACGAUCGUUAGCUGGUCUGAGAGGACGAUCAGCCACACUGGGACUGAGACACGGCCCAGACUCCUACGGGAGGCAGCAGUGGGGAAUAUUGGACAAUGGGGGCAACCCUGAUCCAGCCAUGCCGCGUGAGUGAUGAAGGCCUUCGGGUUGUAAAGCUCUUUUGGCGGGGACGAUGAUGAC
rnacentral:rRNA from 1 species